rnacentral:lncRNA from 1 species
CUCAAGGCUGAGAAGGGGGGAAGCAGCAGCUCCUUAGGUGGGUGGAAAUUCCUCAGGAAACCCAGUGCUGAGGAGAUCCUCUUAAAUUUGGCUUUUCCAGCUCGUCUGGGCUUUCCUAACAGGAUGGAGACAGGGCAGAGAAGUCAGGCAAUGAGGGAAAUGAUCCACUCCAAAGAACAGCCUUUGGCUAAAAAUUGACCUCUGCAUCCAGGCCUUGCUUAGAAGUGAGUCCAAUUUUUUGGAGCUAUUCCUGGCAAGCAGAGUGAGGUCCAGCUGAGGAAAAAAAAAAAAAAAAAAAAAAAGGGGGGGGGGGGAAAAAAAAAAAAAAAAAAAAAAAAAAAGCAGCUAAAUCCUGUCUUGUGAAGGAAAUUAAGCAGGAAUUUAAAAUCUUGGAGAAUCUGUGCUAGAGACUCUCAGGGAGAAACAUGAAAUGUCCCCCCCUUGCUCGGGGCUCUCAAAUCCCAGCUAAAUUAGGCUUUGGAUUAUGAAUAUUUGAAUGUGAACUAAUUCAUUUCCAUGUGAGUGAUGGAAAAGUUGGUUCAGCCAGGCUAUAGGAAUCAGCCACUCCUCCCUUGCAGCUCUUGCAGCCUUUGGAAGGAGCUGCUGGUGCUGAAGAGCCAGGGAAUCUCUGCUCAGGGUGUUUUGGGGCCCAGCCAUGCUCGUACCCCCAUUCCUGUGCAGUUCCUGGGGUCACACCUCCACUCCCCGAUCUGUGGCAGCUCUGUCGCUGCAAACAGGGAUUGGGAACCUGGGUCUGGCAAAGUUUGGGGCUCCAGAAUUUCCCCUGUGUCCUCCUGCUCUGCUGUUGGGGGAUUUUGGGGAGGUUUGGGCACUCCAGGAUGGCUGGGCCUGUGCCCUGCCUGGUUUUUGGGGGUCAGUGUUUUUGUGUCUGUGUCCUGCCUGGUUUUUUUGGGGGUCAGUAUUUCUCAGGUGUGUUCCUGACUGUUUUUUGGAGGUCAGUGUUUAUUAGAUGGAUCCCGCCUUGUUUUUUUUUGGGUCAGUAUUUCUCAGGUGUGUCCUGCUUUGUAUUUUUGGGGGUCAGUAUUUCUCAGGUGUGCUCUGCCUGGGUUUUUUUGGAUCAGAGUUUCUCAGGUGUAUCUUGCCUGGCUUUUUUUUGGGCUCUGCCUGGGUUUUUUUGGAUCAGAAUUUCUCAGGUGUAUCCUGCCUGGCUUUUUUUUGGGUCAGUGUUUCUGAGCCUGUGUCCUGCCUGGAUGUUUUUUUUGGGGGGGUCAGUAUUUUUCAGGCGUGUCCUGCUUGGAUUUUUUGGGGGUCAGUGUUUCUCAGAUGUAUCCUGCCUAGUUUUUUUUGGGUCAGAAUUUUUCAGGUGUGUCCUGCCUGGUUUUUUGGGGGUCAGUGUUUCUGAGCCUGUGUCCUGCCUGUUUUUUUUUUUUUUUGGGGGGGGGGGGUUUUUUUUUUUUUUUUUAGGGGUCGUUGUUUCUCAGGUGUGUCCUGCCUGGAUUUUUUGGGGGGAGUCAGUGUUUCUGUGUCUGUAUCCUGUCUGAUUUUUGGGGGUCAGUAUUUCUCAGGUGUGCCCUGCCUGGUUUUUUUUUGGGGAGCCAAUAAUCCUGAGCCUGUGUCCUGCCUGUUUUUUUUGGGGGGGUCAGUGAUCCUGAGCCUGCUCCACCUGUGAAAUUCCUGCAAUUCUGGGCAAGGACAAGGAGAAAAUGGAAUCUCUGGGUUUGAGGAAUCCAGAAUUCAGGGCUCAGAGCCCGGGCUGCUGCUCCUCACCCCACAAGUGGCCGUGCUCUUGUGCUGUGUGGCUUUUUAGGGAGCUUUGGGGUAAAAGAGAUCAUCUAUAAGCCAGCCCUUACCUCACUGAGGAGUCAUCCCCAGCACUGCCCAUCCUCUGAGAAACAUAAAACUGGUCAAUGCUGCGAGUAAACACAUCUAUUUUUGUAGUUUGUCUCCCAAGUCAAACAAAAAUAAGAGAUGACUCCAGGCUGAGCCCUACACUCAGUGGUAACUGAGAAGUGACAGAGGCAGGACCUGACCCCUGCAAGUCAGGCUGGCAUUUCUGGGCUCAGGGAGUUCAAUUGGUGCCCUUUAGCCACGAGCCUGCAGCUAUUAAUUAAGCAGAAAUUAAUUGUGGCACAGUGGGUGAGCUGUUCCUGGGGAAAUUUUCAGCAUCCUCUGAGUCAGAUGUGGGUGGAUAAGAGCUGAGCAAGGUCUGGCCUCCCAUCCUUGGGUGAAUCCUCACCUGUGCUGGGGCUGCACAAGCCUUCCCUGGAAUUCCAGGGGGAGUUUUCAGCCUCCUAAAGCUGCUCUGCUUCCUUUCCAAACGGGGAAUUUCCAAACUGCCAUAUAUAGAUCCCCCUGCAAACAAACCAGCCAUGUGGAGCUCCAACAAGGCUGUGCUCCCAAAAGCCUGCUCGUUCCAGCUGCAGGAAUUCCUCUCACACAAGAGGAAAUCUCUCUGCAUCUCUUCAGAAAUUUGGGCUUGUUUACAUCCCCUGAAUGUCACAGCAGCUGCAGCAAAACCUCCCCAGGCUCUGUGAAAUACCUGAGCCCCAGCACCACCACAACGAAAAUGGGGUUCAUUGGUUGCUGCUGGUUUUAUUUUAUUUGUUUUCCUACAAUUAUUCAUUGCUGCUGAGCUGUUCUGUAGCUUGGCAUGGGGAGAAGGGGGCUCUGUGAAACACCUGAGCCCCAGCACAACCACAACCAAAAUGGGGUAGAUUUGUUGCUGGGGGUUUUAUUUGGGUUUUUUUCCCCCUGCAAUUAUUCAUUGUUGCUGAGCUGGUGGUUUUAUUUGGGAUUUUUUUCAUUGGGAUUUUUUUUUUCGUUGUUCCUGAGCUGUUCUGUAGCUUGGCAUGGGGAGAAGGGGGCUCUGUGAAACACCUGAGCCCCAGCAUGACCACAACCAAAAUGGGGUUAAUUGGUUGCUGCUGGUUUUAUUUGGGUUUUUUUUUUCCUUACAAUUAUUCAUUGUUGCUGAGCUGGUGGUUUUAUUUGGGAUUUUUUUCAUUGGGAUUUUUUUUUUCAUUGUUCCUGAGCUGUUCUGUAGCUUGGCAUGGGGAGAAGGGGGCUCUGUGAAACACCUGAGCCCCAGCAUGACCACAACCAAAAUGGGGUUAAUUGGUUGCUGGGGGUUUUAUUUGGGUUUUUUUUUUCCUUACAAUUAUUCAUUGUUGCUGAGCUGGUGGUUUUAUUUGGGAUUUUUUUCAUUGGGAUUUUUUUUUUCAUUGUUCCUGAGCUGUUCUGUAGCUUGGGGGGUUUUAUUUUAUUUUUUUCCCCUACAAUUAUUCAUUAUUCCUGAGCUGUUCUGUAGCUUGGCACGGGGAGAAGGGGAUCACCCCGAGGGAAUUUUGGCCAAACCCACGGCAGGUGGAGAAUGGGAGCUCAGAAGUGAUGGGGAGCUGAGGCUGAGCUGAGAUUUCAGCAGGAGCAAAGCUGGAGUGACACCUCUGGCUUCAGGUGCAGGAUGCAUCCAGGAAAGAACCAGCACGAGCACCAGGGUUACUGGAAACAGGAUUUCCCAAUUCCUGCCAAGUUUAAAAAUAAACCCUGCGAGAUCUGAUUAUUUUCCAGGCUGCUUUUUCCUGCUUGCACCUACCCCAGCAGGAUUUAGAGGGAGAUGAAGGUUCCCUCCAGCUGCAGGGUGUGAAUGGUGUCCAUGGGGACGGGCUGGGGGAAAAAAAAGGGAAUUAUUCUGAGAUGAGCAACACUUUCUUGGGAAGUGAGUAAUGGAGGGAAAUGUUUCCAUGUAUCCAGCAGCACUGAUCGAUGGGAUGGGAUGGGAUGGGAUGGGAUGGGAUGGGAUGGGAUGGGAUGGGAUGGGAUGGGAUGGGAUGGAAUCAAUGGGAUGGGAUCAAUGGGAGCAGGGAUAUCCCAUCCCCCUAAAACCAUAUCCAGUCCCCCUAAAACCAUAUCCCAUUCCCCCAAACCAUAUCCCACUCCCCAAAACCAUAUCCCAUUCCCCCAAAACCAUAUCCAGUCCCCCUAAAACCAUAUCCCACUCCCCUUAAACCAUAUUCCAUUCCCCCAAAACCACAUCCCACUCCCCUUAAAUCACAUCCCACUCCCCUUAAACUAUAUCCCAUUCCCCCAAAACUGUAUCCCACUCCCCUUAAACCAUAUCCCACUCCCCUUAAACCAUAUCCCAUCCCCUAAAACCAUAUCCCACUCCCCUAAAACUACAUCCCAUUCCCCAAAACCUGGGAUGAAGCUGGUGCAGCCUGCCUGGGUGGGGCUGUUCCCAGCACAGGGCUGGGGAUGGAUCAUCCUGGGGCUGGCAGCUCCCCUGGGAUGCAGACGGGCCCCAAACUGGGAGGGGAACACAAACAAGUGCCCUCAGCUCUCUGAAUCCAUAGAUUUUUUAAUUAGAUCUUCUUUAAUUGGAAAAUACAGGUUUUUAAUUGCAUCUCCAGCCUGAUUUUCCAUUUGGUGGACGAGUUUGGACACAGCUUUUUUCCACUCUGAACACUCCUUGGCCCCAAACUCCUGGUGAGUUUUUUUUUUACAGUUCCCAGGGGAGAGGAAAUAAAAUUGGAGGAAAUAUUGCUCACCAGUGUCUGAAAUCCCAAAAGCUCCCAAACAUCCCUUUUUUGCUGCUUUUCAGCCAAGGGGAUGAGGACUGAUGGAUCUCUCCAUAACUGGAUGUCAUUUCCCAGCUUUUCCCUCUGCUGGUGACAUCUUGGACCUGUCCAGGAAAAAACUACAGUGGAAAGGGAAUUGUUGUCACCUCACCUGAGGAGUGGGAGCCAAACGCAGAUGUGAGGAGAGCUGGGAAAUUUCUGGGAAAGGGAAUUGGGGUUGGUUUUUGGUGUCCUGGCAGAAAUGCCCUGCACACAGGAGAGGCUGAACCUCGGCGUUUUUGGUGUUUGCUCCCCUCACCCAGCGGGAGAUUUAUCUUUAUCUGGGAGAUACCUGAGAUCUACCUUUUAUCCCAGAUUUACCUUUAAUCUGGGAGCCCCCUUUGCCCCAGGAUCCCAGAGCUGAGCCUGUGUUCAACAUCAGGCUGAGACAGACGAUCCCUGCGCUGUUCCUGUGCCAGCUGCAAUUCCCGAUAUUGCAACUCCCGAUAUUGCAAUUCCCGGUAUUGCAACUCCCGGUAUUGCAACUCCCGGCAUUGCAACUCCCGGCAUUGCUCCCUGCCCUUCCCCAGCUGGGCAGGGCUCCUGCUGCAGUUCCUGCCCGUCCCGGUGUCCCCUCAGCCCUUCCCGGGGGCUCUGAGUGUCCCCCACCCGUGGGAGGCAGCUUGUGGAACGCUCCUCCCAGAAGAUUGGCCAAUAUUCCCAGGGCAGGGCAGCUCCCCAGCCUGUCCUACUCCUUCUUUCCUUUAUAAACGUGUUGCUUUUUUUUUUUUUUCCCCUUCUUCUAGCUCAUUCCAGCAGAGCAGCGCUUUGGAUUUCUCGCAGCUCUUCUUUAUUUUUUUUCCUUUUUUUUUUCCUUUCCUUUUUUUUUUUUUUUUUUUUUUUUUUUUUUUCUUGUCUCGAGCUCUUCUUUUCUCCUUUCUUUUUUCAUUCUGAAGAGGCCGUGAGUUGACCUGCAGUUUCCCUCUGGUUACUGGCCCGCUGCCAGUGCCUCUCAGGGCCAAAGUUUUAUCUAUAGGGAUAUAUUUUUCAAGCCAGCUGCUCACACAGAGAGAAUCCCCGCUGCUGGGGCGAGCUCGGCCGGAGCUGCUCGUCGGGCUCCCGCUGUCAGGAUGGAUUUAUGGCUUUAAAAGGAGUCAGGAGGGGGGAGGAAGGAGAAUUAGGAUUGCCUGCAGGAGCCGGAGCUCGCAGCACAACUCCCGGGGAUCUCCAGGAUGGCAGCGGGACCAUGAGUGACCCCAGGCUCUGGAUCUGCCUUCACAGAGCCCAGCCCGUGGAUUUGAGCUGCUUUAA